AUUGAACGCUGGCGGCAGGCCUAACACCUGCAAGUCGAACGCGUGGCGGACGGGUGAGUAAUGUCGGGGAAACUGCCCGAUGGAGGGGGAUAACUACUGGAAACGGUAGCUAAUACCGCAUACCAUCGGAUGUGCCCAGAUGGGAUUAGCGAGUAGGUGGGGUAAAGUCUCACCUAGGCGACGAUCCCUAGCUGGUCUGAGAGGAUGACCAGCCACACUGGAACUGAGACACGGUCCAGACUCCUACGGGAGGCAGCAGUGGGGAAUAUUGCACAAUGGGCGCAAGCCUGAUGCAGCCAUGCCGCGUGUAUGAAGAAGGCCUUCGGGUUGUAAAGUACUUUCAGCGAGGAGGCGUGACUCGCAGAAGAAGCACCGGCUAACUCCGUGCCAGCAGCCGCGGUAAUUC
rnacentral:rRNA from 1 species